CCUACGGGGGGCUGCAGUGGGGAAUAUUGCACAAUGGGGGAAACCCUGAUGCAGCAACGCCGCGUGAGUGAUGACGGCCUUCGGGUUGUAAAGCUCUUUUUUCAGGGACGAUAAUGACGGUACCUGAGGCGGAAGCGACGGCGAACUGCGUGCCAGCAGCCGCGGUACUAGGUAGGUGGCGCGCGUUGUCCGGGUUUACUGGGCGUAGGGGGAGCGUAGGCGGAGUUUUAAGUGAGAUGUGAAAUACUCGGGCUAAAUUUGAGUGCUGCAUUUCAAACGGGAAGUCUGGAGUGGAGGGGAGGAGAAUGGAAUUGUAGUGUAGCGGUGAAAUGCAUAGAGAUUAGGAAGAACACCGGUGGCGAAGGCGAUUCUCUGGACUGUAACUGACGCUGAGGCACGAAAGCGUGGGGAGCAAACAGGAUUAGAUACCCUGGUAGUC
rnacentral:rRNA from 1 species